ensembl:lncRNA
GCCCAGAGAGGUGAAGCCAUCAGAGUCACCGCAGCGAGCCGUGCUCAGCCCAGAUGGAAUCAUGUCUUCAGACACCAACUUGCUCCUCCUGGGCCGUGGGCUCUGGGAUCCACAUGGCUGUCUGGGACCUGGAGAGAUUGGCCUUGGCUGCUUUAGGAAAAUCAUGAUUUGCUGGACAGUGGCACUGCUUUAUAGUCCCGACCUCAGAUAAAGGCUGAUCAUGUCCACACAAGAGACGCGAGAAGGUAGCCUGCUGACCUUUGUUCAAGGACAUGGCCACUUGAGCGCACACAGGUUGGUGGAGAAUGCCACGCUUUGCCAAAGAAUGUUCCGUCUUCCUUUCUCUUAUCUUAUCGCGUGUGCAUUUGGGAAGGAGGUUGUGUCCAGCCAGGGCUGCAACUGUCCUGGACUGUGUCACCCUGACCCAGACCUUGUCCUGGGCACGUGUUCGCACCUGGCCCCCGAUUGCCUCUGGGGCCUAGGAGGAGAAGCCUCCCUACUUCCACCCUGUCCUGAAGGCCCGGCCUCAGCAGACUUGCUUGACCCUGUUUCCCAACCGUGGUCCUGUUGGCCCCAUGCCCCACAGCUGGGCUGAACCGCUGCACUCAUGAAGAAGGGGGGUGGCAGUUGCAGGUCCCUGGCAACACAUGACCUUUGGUUUCCCGAAACCAAAAUCCCCCAGGAGGGGGUGCCCUGGCGGUCCGGUGGGUAAAGGAUCUGGUGUUAUCACUGCUGUAGCUCUGGAUGCUGCUAUGAUACACAUUGGAUCCCUGACCUAGGAACUUCCACAGGCUGUGGGCGUGGCCCCCAAACCAUCCCCAAAUCUCCCGGGAGUCUAUCCUCCAGGGACAACCUGAAGUUUGUGGCAUGUGGCCUCCAUUCUUUCUCUGUUUCUGUCUCGCAAGAACGUAGUGAGAGCAUCUCAAAUAAGAUGUUUAAUCCUUGGCAAUAAGCCCACACCCGGAGUCACGGAACCAUCAGUAAUCAUGAGAUUUAUUGCAUCAGUUCCUGGGUUACUGGAAAGAACGUUUGGCUCAUGGGGAAACCCAGGAAGGUGGGGCCACCUUGCCAGCCCCACCAGGCUGGAGGAGACACCAGCUUCUCCCUCCUGGCCUCUUUCCUGGGGUGGGAGAGCUGGCAGGGGUGGGCCGCUGUCUCUUUGAACAUCUCAGGAGUGCCUCUCGUUUGACUGUCAGGAUUUGACAUGCUCCAUCUUGAAGCUGAAAUCUACAGGAAUAUCAUUCGUUCUCUGAAUCCAGACAUGGUGGGUAAUUGGGGGGAACAUAUUUCAACUUCAAAAUGGAUUAUGAGCAUGCAAAUAUUUGGAGAGCUUCAUUUUGUCUUUUAACAUGGAUUAAAGAGGAAAGCUGGUUGCCAUGGAGUGUAUUUUCGUCACUUACAAACAGCCAAUCAGCUGUCUGCCCAUUGGACAGUGAUUUGCUGGAUGCCUGCUGUGGGCCUGGCUCUGUCCAGGCUGUGGGGUUGAGGCCCACAAACACUGGUGCCUCCCCGGAGGUCCCCAGCCUGGCCAAGGGGCCUCACCAGGUAGACCACAGCAGCUCGGGGUGGUUGGAUCCUUCCCACAGCUCUUAGUG